rnacentral:rRNA from 1 species
AAUGAACGUUGGCGGCGUGGAUUAGGCAUGCAAGUCGUACGCGAAUCGUAGCAAUACGAGGAAAGUGGCGGAAGGGAGAGGAUUACGUGGGAAUCUACCCUCAGAACUGGGAUAGCGGCGGGAAACUGCCGGUAAUACCAGAUAAUGUCUGUGGACCAAAGGUGUGAUUCCGUCUGGGGAUGAGCCCACGUCCUAUUAGCUAGUUGGCAGGGUAAUGGCCUACCAAGGCAAUGAUGGGUAGCGGGUGUGAGAGCAUGACCCGCCUCACUGGGACUGAGGACUGCCCAGACACCUACGGGUGGCUGCAGUCGAGAAUCGUCGGCAAUGAGCGCAUGCUUGACCGGGCGACGCCGCGUGCGGGAUGAAGGCCUUCGGGUUGUAAACCGCUGUCGUAGGGGAGCAAGAGAUGAGGGUACUCCCUCUGAUUUGAGCGAUCCUAGGAGGAAGGACGGGCUAAGUUCGUGCCAGCAGCCGCAGUAAUAC